CCUCCACCAUUGUUAAAGUGCCCUUUCAGCCCAGCCAAUUAACACCUGUCCAUGGCUACAAACAUGCUAAGCAACAAGGAAACCAAACAAACAGACAACUCUAUUCCCAGGGAACCGUGCACCUUAUCAUAAAAAACAAAUAAACACAUGCCCCAAUUGUAACUUUUUAUGAAACCAAGAAAUCUAUAAACCUACUAAACAACACAUUUAGUAAGUAAUAAAAAUGGAGUCUUUUUUAGAAGGUAAAAAUUGGGUUAUAUGUAGAAUGUGAGUUAAAAGAAUUGAAAAUUUACCAUGGAAGUUGAUGUUAGUUUAGUUCUUUCCUUUUCCUUUCUGAUCUGAAUGUCCGUGGCCGUGGUCAUACCCAUUUCCAUAGAAGAGAUGUAAACGAGCAUCAUAUUCAGUUGUGGGACCAAGAUAUGAUCCGUCUGUGGGAGAAAACCUCUGGUAAUGAGGCAAAGUAGAGGAAGAAUUGGACUGAAGGGUCCCCCUAUUGAAACCAGAUGUUGAAGAAAUGCUGAAGUUCAAAUUGUACUCGUUAUUAGUAUUAGUAUUACUGGAGGUAACGCCCGGGACUAGGUUGUCACCGCCAAAUGGGAAAUGCUGCAGCUCCGGUCGAUGCUCACCCGUAAUACUAAACAUUGGUGAAGACACUGGUCUUAAUGGCUGUAGAGGAUUUCCCAAGUAAAUUUGGCCACUAGAGUUGUCUAUUCCACGAGUAGCUGAUGGGCCUAAUAAUCCUGAGGUAAAAUACUCCAACGGAUUUGUAGACCAUUGCCUUGGUGUAUUUUGGUGAAUGUUGCCAUUAGGACUUGUGUUGCUGUUGUUGUUAUCGCUCAUACCACCGGUCAAUAGCUCAGUGAAAGACGAGCUAGGGUGCAUGUUUUGGUGGUGUUGAGCAACAAUACAAGACUUGUUUUCUUUUUCCUUUUCUUUCUCUGUGGCCCUUUCCUUUGCUCGCUCCCGUGCCUUGAGCCGACUAUCAGAUCUGGAAAGUGACAAGCCCGAACCUUUACUUGUCUCAGAAUUGCUACAACAAGGUUGUUGCUGCUGAUUGUAAUUAAGAUCAUCAUCCAUUUCCACAUCAGCUGAAUCAAAACCCGGCUCACUUGACCUUUUCUCAUCACUGAGCUGCAGUGUAUCUGGAAAUGCCUCAAGAGGUGGAAGCUCAGCAAUAGAAGGAGCGGCCGCUUUUAGCAGCCAUUCGACAGCCUUGCUGGGCUGAUCACAGCCUAGACGGUCUUGCAAAUCAUAGAACUGUAUAGCAGUAUUGACAGAAAGACGAACACGUCUAUCUCUUAACCCCUUUGAAGUCAAUACUUUGCUAUGCCUAUCUUUCCCUCCAGAUGCACGAGAAACUCUAACAAUUCUUGAUGAAGGCCGACCAUAAAAUUUUACAAUCCCACCAAGUCCACUACUCCUUUUGACUUCUCCUACAUCAUCUACAUCAUAUUUUUGGUACUGCUCAUCCUCCUUGUUGCUCAUUCUUGGAAACUUGCACUCAUCAGUUUGAAUCUCCUCCAUCUCCAUACUACAACUUUCAUACCUUUCUCAAACAAACAAAAAAAAAAAAUCAAAAUCAAGAAAACACCCACCUUUCAAAAUUUAUUGGUUUACCCAAAUUUUCUUGAGUUCAAAAGGGUAUUAUUAUUUUUUUCCUGUGUGGAUUUGGGACUUGAAUUAGGGUUCCAAGAUGGAGAAAAAAAAUACAAGUAGAUAAAACUAUGAGCUGGUGUAGGGGGUACCUUCUUGGGCUUGGAGGACUGUAGAUGUCCUUUGCAUUAAUCAUGAUUACACACUACUUAAAAGACUUUUAUAAUGAUAAAUCCAUAUGAGUACACACAUGUAAAGAGUAGUCAAAAAAAAAGUGUUUUUUGAGGUCUGAUAUAUCACAUUCAACUACAGAUAGGGCUUGUUUAAAUGUCAGAAGUAGAGAGAAAAGAAGGCUUCUUUUUGCAGUGCUUUCAAAAACAAAGGCCUGUGUCAUCUCAGCAUCACAGCCCUGUUACACUGUAGGAAAACAGUCAAAACCAUAGCCACAAAAAAUCAACAAGCCCACAAAAUUAAUUUAUUUUUUAAAAAAGAAAAGAAAAGGAAGAAGCAUCAAAUGCUCUAGCUUUUCAUAGGGCUUUAGAUAUAAACUUUUGGACAGAUGUGGUUUAUGAGUAAAAGCUAAAUAAAUAGGUAGCUAAUCUAAGAAGAAAAAGAAAAGUCUUUGAAGGAUAGAGUGGAGAGCCUUUUUUGUGUGUGUAAUUAAAGAAUGACAAUUUUGUUAUUGCUAUUCUCAAAAAGAGAGAAGAUAACUACACAACCCAAAAGAAAUAAAAUACAGAAUGACAAUUUUAUUUAAUUAAAAAAAUAAACUAUUUCCAGUGGGAGUUAAAUUCCAUUAAUAAAAUAGAUGAUUAAAUGUUGUUGUUUUGGUGUUUGUGUCUGUAUACAACACCAACAAUACAAUAUAUUCAUUUACCAUUUGUUGUUUCUUGAAUAGAAAACAUGAAAUCUAGACAACUGUUGGAUCUGAGAGUUUUGUACUCCUUCAAGGGUAGAUCAGCUCCUUGUUUCACAUAAAAUCAAAUUAUGGAUAAAAACCCUUUCUUUCAUCUUCAAAUCAGCAAAAUAUCUUCAAUAAUUAGCUAAAAUGGCAUUGGAGAAAAAACAAAUUUUCCAAGAUAAAGAAUUGUUGUAGCAUCUUGAAUACAUUCAACAAUUGCUUCUUUCUUAGCUAUAAUUUACAAAAAACCAAAAAUGUGAAAAAGGGCAACUCCAAGGAGCAGCUAAGUUCAAAGUUGAAGAAUAUUACCCAAAUCUCUGCUUCCUUAUAUCACAACUUUGAAAACUCCAAAGCCAUAAUCAGCAAAUCCAAACCAGAAAAUUUUAAAUAUAUGAUAAAUGCUCUUCAACCCUCAUUUUUAGACCAAAAAAAGCAACUGUAAGUCCCCAUGAUGAAAACCUCCAACUUAUCCUUUAAAUUUUGUGAAAAUGGAAAAUCUUACUUUCUUUUUUUUCAGAUAUUUUGGUACCUAAAAAUUAAAAAGUAAAGAGAGAGAGUAGAGUAAAAUCCCUAAGGUCAUGAACAUUCGAGCAUAUCACCAGGCUUAUCGUGUAAGUACAGACACAGUGCCGUUUUACUCUUUUCCACUUUUUUUUUUUUUUUAAAUAAUGCCACGCCAAGAUAUUUUUCCUAUUUAAUUGCCCUCUUUAAUUUUUGGGAAAAGGUUCAAAAAUAUUCAUAAACCUAUUGAAAAUGUUCAAAAAUGUCCUCUUUUCAUUUAUUAGUUUAAAAAUAUCCUUAACAUUUUCUUUAGGUUAAAAAAUGCCCACUAAUUAGCAGACAUAUGACAUGAAAUUUAACUAAACAAAUGACAAUUUUAUAUUGGUCCACAUCAUUAUAUGACUCAUCUUUAGUUUGCAAAACAAAGUUAAUAAUGAUCCCUUCGAUUGUAUUUUACCCGCUCAACAAACAACAAAACACAAAAAAAAUAAAAAUUAAAAAAGAUAAAAAAAAAAUUGAGAUAAAUAUCAAAAACACAUCUAAACUAUCUUUUUUUUUUUUUAGUUUCAUACAUAAACUAUUGAAAGUAUGAGUUUCAUACAUAAACUAUCAUUUUUUUAGUUAGAGAAACACACAUAAGUGGUGUGUAAUGCACUCUCUCUUUUAUUUGAAAAAAACUUGACACAUGGCAUUCCACAUGGAUAAAAUAUUUCAACUUGACAAAAAAUUAAAUAAUAAAUUAUUAAUAUUAAUUAAAAAAUUAAAGAUUAAAGUAUUACUAUACAUAAAAAAAAAUUAAAUGAUUUUUUUUACCCCACUCCACCACCUCCUCAACGUACCACCCCCCCCCCCCGACAAUUCCCCAUCUUUUUUUAAAAAAAUAAUCCAUUAUAAAAUAUUUUAAAAAAAUUCAUACUUCACCCUCCCCCCUCCCAAAAAACAAAAACCACCCACUCAUCCCCCUCCACCCAAAAAAAAAAGAUAUUAUUUUAUUUUAAAAAAAAUAAAAUUCUACCCCAUCCUAUUUAACCCUCCGCUCCUAAUUUUUAUUUUAUAUUUUUCUCAUUUUGUAUUAGAUAUGUACGUACAUAUAUUUUUAGAAUUUUUUUUCUAUUAGUGUACGAAUAUAACAUAAAUAAAUAAAAAAUUAAAAAAAGUCUUGCGGCGGCAAGUAAACAAUAUUUCCGAUAUGUAUACAUCUAAUACUAAAUGAGAAAAAAAAAAAUUAGAAAGCGGAGGGUUAGGUGGGGUGGGUAGAAUUAUUUUUUAAAAAAUAAAAUAAUAUCUAAAUUAGUAUUUGAGGUGGGGGGAGGAGAUGAAGCAAAAAAAUUAAAUACUUUUAUAUAAGAAAUUUAAACAAAAAAAGAAACUUAAAAAAAAAUGGCCGGGGGUGGGUGGGGGGGGGGGUGAGAGGAAGUGAUAGAGUGGGGUAAGAAAAAUACUUUACAUUUUAUUUUAUAAAAGAAAUAUUAUCUUUUUUGUAUAAUAUUUUUUUAUUUUUCAUUUUUAACUAAUACUAAUAAUUUAUUUAAUUUUUUCAAGGUUGAAUGUUUUGUCCAUGUAGAGUGUGAUGUGACAAUUUUUUAAAUAAAAGAGAGAGUGUAUUACACACACCAUGAUGAGAGUGGUAUAAAAGAGAGAUGUGUGUUUCUCAAACUAAAAAGUGAUAGUUUAGGUAUGAAACUCACACUCUCAAUAGUUUAGAUAUGAAACUCAAAAAAGGGUACAGUUUAUGUGUGAUUUUGACACUUAUCUUUUUUUUUUAGGUACAAAAGGAUAGUAAUAUAUUAUAGCUUAAUAUGCGUUAGUUCAAGAUAGUGGCUGACAUGACUACUGUUAACAUACAUGGAGGAGGUAGAUGUUGAUUACAUAGCUUAUUGGUAUUAUUGGGCGAUAUACGUUUAACAAAAAGAGUUGCAGCCUUGUCUGCUUCCAAAUACUUUACUGCAAACAAAGGGGGAACUGCCCCAAAAAAAAUUCAUUUAUAUAGAAGGAGGAAAUUUUGAAGUUCAAAAAAUUCAUAAGGAAAAAAUUGAGGAAUCAAAUGUAUUUAUAGCCAUGUAAGUACUGUUUUUGAAAGUUUGCAACCUUUUUAGAACAGUCACCUAAGGAAAAUGGGCGGGAUAUUUAAAUGAAACUCGGUAAAAGAAUCUUCAUUGGGUUGCGCACGGAUCUGGUUCGGAUUGGAUAUUUGGCAAAUUUAAUUUAAAUAAUCAAAGAAAAAAUUGUCCAAAAAUAAAUCUCUUGAUCGGUAAUUUUUCAAAGCCAAAGUCGAGCUAGCAAGCGACGACGUGAGGGAACCUCUUUUCAAUCCUUUUUAACAACAAGUAAAAGUGUUAUCUUAUUUAAACACUUGAACUUCUCUUUCUACUAUCGAUGAGGGAGAAAUGCUUUCACCAAAACAUGUGUUUCCUCAAUUUCUCAUUUAAUUUACACUAGAUCAACAAUCCCCCACAUGAAUGGAGAAUAGCUAUAACAUAGAUAAAUGCAUAUACAAGUGUAUACUCUGCAAGCAAGGAUUAUACAUCUGGAUAAGUAGGUUUUUCUUUGAUUUUUCAUUGUGAACAUAUGUUGGAUAUGUUUGUAAAUUUUACGGAAAAUACCUUCAUCACGAACACUUGUACCGAAUUCACCAAAGCUUGUACUUCACCAAUAACUCUCAUUAGAAAUUCUCAUAGCUUGAGGCGUGUCGAAAGACAUUGUCCUUAAGAAUAUUUCACCCGAUAUGAGUGUAUCUCCUAGGAUUCAACAAGCUCUUCUAGUAUAAAACUAGGAGCCAGAAACUAACAAAGAUUUAAAGAAAAAAGCCUAGCACACCAAUAGAAUAUAGGUGGAAAGAUUUACUCUCAAAAUGUAUAUUUUCCUACCACCUUGUGAUAGAGGAAGACCACAUUUAUAUGGAAACAUACAUAAGGCUAAAGCCUCCAACGGUUACAAAAAGGAAUUAAUGUCAAUAAUUAGGAAUAAGGGCAAAAAAUUUGAAGGCCAAUUAAGAGGAAAAAGACGUUGGCAACUGCCACAUUUUGACCAACCUUAAAAUUGAUUUGUAAGAUAAUUAAUAGAAUAUUAACACCCAUUUAAGAUGAUGAAUGUAGAAAAUAAUAUGAACACUUCUUUUUGAGAUACUAGAAUCAUUUUUUCAACAAUCCCCUACAUAUCUCAAAAAGAAUAUUAAUAAAUAGAAUGAAAUAAGACGUUUUGUUGGAUUUUCAUAUAUUAGUCUAAUGCAUCAAAUUUGGUGUUUGUAGACUAUGAACCAGACCUAGAUAAAACAAGAUUAAACUUACAGAAUAAUUGGUGAAGUUUAGAACUUCUAUGAACCAAUAAUUCUUUUGUAAGUCCCGCGUCUUAUUCUAUCACAUUAUACUCGCACAAUCUUUAUCGUUAUCACGGUUUUGCACUAGAGGCCAUGUGCAUGUCCUGAUAUUCAUGAGAGCUCUAGAAAUUUGUCACAAUUUCAUAGAAGCGGCACCACUGCACACUCAUAUAGGUCCAAUCAUCAAGUGUAUUCUGCAGAGCAAUACACCACCUAUAAAGGAUAUGACUUGGAUUAAGAGCUUAACUUAGCCUCACUUUGCCUUGCAGACUGUUGCACUACAUUCACAUAUCAUAGGAGGGACAUAAUUUUAUAGUGCUUACUUGAUCAACUAAUGACUUGUUGUUACCCAUAUGAACCUAAUUCAUGUGAUCUCCAAUCACAUAGGUUGCGUUACCAUCAUCAUUGAUCUUCUCAAAUUGACUAAAGUCUUACUCCCCUCGAUGUUUCAUUUAGUCAGUAAAUUGAUCAGAUUCACCUUCGACUACACAUUAUCUAUUUACGUAAAUAAUUCAUCUCGCUGUAGUAUUUUUAUCACAUUGUGUCUCAAACACAUGUAUCUAAUUUAGUCACAUAAAAGUUGGUUUUAUUCCAAUUGGAAUACACACUAAGAAUUGUCUUAACCACUUAGUCUCAUCACCAAUCAACUCCACAACAACUAAUUCUAAUUAAUUAUUUUUAUAUUAUGGCAUUCACAAAAAUGUAUCAACCUCUUUUACCUUUGUCAUCAUAUAUUGUACCCUUUUUGUACAACAAAAUAUUCAAUUUAUUUAGUAUUGUACUUAUUGUACCUCUCAUGUAUUACCAAAGACUCUUUUCAAGAUAAUGUAUCAAGAAUCAAUAUAAUUUUCAACAACAAGAACAUUGAAAGUAUUUUCACUUUUAAAAACUCAACAAUACUUUAUUUUAUUUUUUCCAACUCUAACAUUGUAUUCAAUCAAAUCACAAUUGAUUAUCACAAAUAUGUAUUUACAACAUUUAUUAGCAUACAAUUAAAAAUUUAGAUCUUAUUUUUCUUUUCUUAGGAUCAUGUAACACAACCUUAACAAGAUACCCCUACACUUUAAAAUAUUUCAAUAGAGGAUUAACUUUUUCAACAUCCAUAAAGUUUUCAAAGUAGUAUGUAACAUACAAAUCUAUACACCAAAACAUAACAAAAUUAAAAUAAACAAAAAGAAUUUACGUCUCAUUUACUCAAGAAGUAAAACAAUUUGAGAAUAUACCCAAGCGAAGAUUCAACAAAAUGGAUGAGCUUCUUAAUCAAUAUUUAUCAAAAUAUUUUAUUUUUAACGUUCUGAUAAUUAAUGUGACAAAUGUCAAUUAUUAAAACUAUGUAGGAGUCACUCAAUACCACUUAAAACAAUAGUAACUAUCAAAUUUGAAUCACUAUUCAACAGUCUGUUAUAGAAUUUCACAAUGUAAUGUAAGAAUUCUAUUGAAUAAUUAUCAUACAGAAACUCAUAUAUAAUAUAAAACUAAAUAGAUUAGAAGUCUAACACAUCAAGAAUUAUCUCAAUCAGUCAAGCAUAAAUAACUCAUUGUCCUAACAACAUUCAUAAACACAUUGUCAAAUUAAAAUAAGUCAUUCAUUAAAUCUUUUCACAAAUUUACAAUAAUCAACUUUUCCUCAUAAAAUCCCUAGUUCCAAUCUAGCAUAAAUAUUAAAAUCAUGUACCAUCUCAAAUAAUGUCAAUAUUUUCACAUGUGAGUUUAAGAAGAAGAGCUUUUCCAUUCCAAGAACUUGAGUAGUUCUAGAAUCACCAACAUAUAUAAUUUUUUUCUUCUUUUCUAAUAUGGGAGCACAAAAUAAUUUUAUUUAGCAUAAAUGUACUCAACAAUACAAAAAUCUAACACCCAAUUUCUCACUUCCACAUAUUAGCCACAAGAUUCGCUUAAGAAAUGACCACACUAAUUUACAUCAUUCGCUUAGUCACAUUUAUUUUUACUUAGCGGGAUUAUUAUUUCUCCGAAUCUUCUUCACAUAGGGAGCAUGCAGAUUUAUUUCACCACACACAAAUAAUAAUCAUUAAAAAUAUAUACACAUAGUAUCAUUACAUACCUUAUUAGCAUGAACACGUUGGAAUGGAACACCAAUGAUACAAAAUUACCUCCAAUAGAAUGUUGAUUUUUCUGCUAAUAUCAACUACCGUAACAACGAUAAUUAUUCCAACCACGCUUCCACAGUAGUUGUCCCGAUAUACAAUUAGACUUUCAACCAUAAAUUACCAAACUUCAGUUUAUUCCUUAGCCAGCAAAGCUUGGACUAAUAGCUUGACCCCAUCAAACCUUUUCAUAUCUAUUCUUUCCUUUUAACCGUAAAAAUACUCUAUUAUUGUAGUAAUUAAUAUUCCGCAAGAAAAAAGUUUGAAAAUAUCCUUAAGAUUGUUGUAAAUUUUACGGAAAAUACCUUCAUCACAAACACUUGUACCGGAUUCACCAAAGCUUGUACUUCACCAAUAACUCUCAUAGGAAGUUCUCAUAGCUUGAGGCGUGUUGAAAGACACUGUCCUUAAGGAUAUUUCACCCGGUAUGGGUGUAUCCCCAGGAUUCAACAAGCUCUUCUACUAUAAAACUAGGAGUCAGAAACUAACAAAGAUUUAAAGAACAAAACCCAGCACACCAAUAAAAUAUAGGAGGAAAGAUUUACUCUCAAAAUGUAUAUUUUCCUACCACCUUGUGAUAGAGGAAGACCACAUUUAUAUGGAAACAUACAUAAGGCUAAAUCCUCCAACGGUUACAAAAAGGAAUUAAUGUCAAUAAUUAGGAAUAAGGGCAAAAGAUUUGAAGACCAAUUAAGAGGAAAAAGACGUUGGCAACUGCCACAUUUUGACCAACCUUAAAAUUGAUCUGUAAGAUAAUUAAUAGAAUAUUAACACCCAUUUAAGAUGAUGAAUGUAGAAAAUAAUAUGAACACUUCUUUUUGAGAUACUAGAAUCAUUUUUUCAACAGGAUAUACUCGGUCUAUCUAUAGAUUUGAUAUUUUUGAACCAUCAAAUUUUGAUAUAUACCUAGAAAAACACAUGCCACAUGUUCAAUCAUUUAACAUCUAUGGUGUUUACAGUUGUGUUCGUUUCAACCAUGAACACCUACUGAUUUGACAUUGUCAAAUAACUUGGGAUCCAGUUUGCUAGGUAGAAUUACCGUCAUGAUGACUUGUCCUAAGUCUUAAACUCUUUUCUUUAUAUCAUAUUUCAACUGUUCCUCUAGCUAGGCCUUUUAUAAGUGGAUCCGACAUAUUAUCUCUAGAAUUUACAUAGUCAAUAGUGAUAAUUCUACUAGAGAAUAGUUGUCUCAAGGUAUUAUAUCUUCUUCGUUGUACAUAACGUUCCUUGCCCUAUCUAUUACUCAUUGACUAUCAUAAUAAAUGCAUAUAGAUCCUAAAGUUUGGGUCAGAAUAGGAUAUCUUCUAAGAAAUUUCGGAUCCCUUCAUCUUCUUCAUCGGUCUUAUCUAAAGCAAUAAAUUCAGAUUCUAUUGUAGUGAAAGCGAUACAUGUCUGUUUGGAUGAUAUCCAGGAGAUUGCUCCUCCACUAAGGAUAAAUAUAUACUCACUCAUGAAUUUACUUCAUUUGAUUCAGUGAUCCAAUUUGCAUCACUAUAUUCUUCAAUCAUGAUGGGAUAGUUGGUAUAAUGCAAAGUCUUGUGUAUGUUUAAGAUACCCCAAAACUAAUUUCAUUGACAUCUAGUGAGCUUAAUUGAAAUUACUUGUGAACCGAUUGAAUUUGCUUAUAACACAUGCUAUAUUUGAUUACGUAAUGUUUAUGAUAUACAUCAAACUUUUCAACGUUCUUGCAUAAUUCAAUUGUGAGUCACUUUCACCUUCAUUCUUCUGAAAUGUAAAGUUAACAUUAAUUGGAGUGUUUGCAGUAUUGACAUAUCAAAUACUUAUUUCAUAAAUUCAAAUCUCUUAAUAGUAAUACAAUAUCUGAAUUGGUGAUGAUUUUAGUUCAAACUUUCAACAAAAAGAUAUUUGAUAGCUUUUACUUGAAUUUUUUUAGAAAUAUUUGUGUAACACCCCGGAAACUAGUAGACUAAACUAGGGCCUUAAGCUAGGGUUCUAUAGUUUGAUGUAUGUGGAUUAGAGUCGUAGAUGAGACUUCCCGUACUUAGAAUGAGGGGCUUAGGGGUUGAACGUCAAGGAACGUUUUACACCCCGUAAACUAGUAGACCAUCUAGCUAGGGUUUAGUGAGGGACAAUGCAAGGGGUAAGAGCCAAGGCCAAGGGGGCAAGGCCCAAGCCAAGGCCAAGGCUUCCCAAGCUUGGAAGCACAUUGCCUCAAGUCCACGACCACUACCAUGUCUCAUGGUGUGGUUCGUGAGACCAAGGUAGUAGCUCCCUAAGGGCUGCCUCAAUGUGGCUUACCUCCACGAGCCACUUCACGACUCGUGGUCUUGACCACGGAUCGUGGGAAGGCUCGUGAAGAUGCCUUAGGAGGAGGGAAGCCACGACUUUUUAGAGCCAAGUACGGACCCUUGUUCAUGACCACCAUCACGACCAGUGGUCUUGACCACGGUCCGUGAAGGGGUCCGUGAAGACCCCUUAGAGUCAUAGGAGGCAAGGUCCUUAGGCCUAGCUACUGCCUAAGGGACUACGACCAUCACCACGACCCGUUGGCUUGUCCACGGAUCGUGGGAGGUCUCAUGGUCAUGCCUUAGCAUGUAGGAGCUUGGAAAGUUGAGGGGAGCCACUGGUCAAGGGACCACGGGAACCACCAUGGGACGUGGUGCCCUUGACGGCUCGUGAAGAGGGGCGUGACCCUUGGCAAGGGUCUGUUUAGUUGAAGGGUAUUUUGUAAUUUCCAAAACGUUUAGUUAAUUAAUAGGGUCGUUUUAUAUGAUUUUUAUUCACCAAUAUAAAGUCUUUUAAGUCAUUAAACACCCCAACUAAGUCAUUUAGAAUCAAAACCCCAAAUCACUCCUCUCUGCAAUAUUUCUCUCUCUAGAAAGACCUCCAUUGAAGAACAAGCUAGGGCUUGAAGCUAAGGUCAAGAUCAAAGGCUCCAUUAUUGAAGGAUUGUUCUAGGGAUUUGAUUAAGGUAUGUUAGAUUUUCAUCUAUGGGUUCUUCCACCAAUAGAGUCCCCUAGAAUUUCCCCAAAUUUGUGAAGAAGAACCUCAAUCUAAGCUAGGGUUUCUUCCAAUGAGUGGGUUUAGUUGGGUACUACUCCAAUUGGUUGGAUAAUACUUAUGUAUGAUUAAUUUAGUGUUAAUUCAUGAUAUUAUGAUGAAUUUAUAUGAUUUCCAUGAUUACCCUAGUCUAAUUGAUGAAGAUGAUUUAUGUGGGUUAUUAUCAUGGAUGGUGAAAUUGAAGGUCAUGGUGAACUUCUAGAAUUAUGCUUUGACUAGUAAUUAUCUAGGGCUAGAACCUAUAUGCAAGAAUUGAUUUAGAAUGAUGUGAAUAUGAAGAUUCUUGAGUAGUAAUGCUUGAGAUUGAUUUUACACGAUGAAUUAUGACUAGAGUCUCUAGGAAGAAUAUGACUAGAAUUGCUAAAGAUGAACCUUAUGACUUGAGUGUCUUGUAUCCUAGAUAUGAAUGAUGAUAGAAUGAAGUAAAGCUUUGAGAGUAAGGCUUGUAGUCAUGAAUAUUGAAUCACUAGGGCUUUGAGAGUAGAGUCAAUGCGAUGAAUAGAAGGCUAAUAGGUGGAUUUGUGGUGAAAGGCCUAUACUCACCUAAUCUACUUUAUUGAAUUCUUGAAAGUAUCAAGUGAUAGAAUCACUUGAACAUGGAUUGGUUGUUAAGGACAUCCUUCCAUGAGACAUGAGUGUUAAGCAAGGCUUAACAAGUAAACGUUGUGGUGUAUGCUUGGCUCCAAGUGGAUAUUGACAAUGAGAUGGAGUGUCACACAAGAAAGGGUCCGAGCUCCAAGUUGAAAGGAGAACCAUACCUAGUUGAUGUGAGGACUAUCCAAGUUAAAAGGGGGGAACUCUUACAUAGUAGAGUGUGGGUUUUCCCAAAGUUAGGUCUUAUGAGAUGGAAGCCUUCACAUAGUUGAGUUAAGAUUUCUAGUAGCAAUCUCCAUAUCCAAUGAACUAAGACAUGCUUGAAGAAGCAUCUCAAAGUGUUCUAAAGCCUAAUUGAACUAAGACUUACUUAAUGAAGUACCUCAUAGUGUUCAAAAGUAUAAGUGGAAUUAGACAUGCUUAGAGUAGUAUCUCAUAGGGUCCAUGCUAAUGAGGAAACCUAGGCAUGCUAAAAGUAGUAUCUCAUAGGGUUCAAUCUAAUAAUGAACUAAGAUGUGCUUAAGAGAGUACCUCCUAGUGUUCUAAAGUUAAAGAGAGGAACUAGGUUCCAAAUCAAGAAGUAUUAGUAUGAGGACCUAAAAGUAGUACUUAGCAUGAGUAGUAUUAUGGGAUGCUAUUCGUGCAUUGCACAAAUAUGACUUAGGGUCAUUCAAGAAAGAGUUCUUAUUAGUGAUGUAUUUUAAGAUAGGGUUGUGCUAUAGUUGCAUUCCAUGAUAUGUUUGACUAAGGAUGGUAGUUCCUUUGUCUAUAUGAAGUAAGCUAAAGAGUGAGACUAAAGGAGGGUAAGUAUGACUAUGUUGACGUUCAAGAUUAUACUUAGUGUGAAUGGUAUUAUGGAAUGCCUUUCAUACAUUGCACAAGUGUGCUUUGAGGUUACUUAGGAGUAUGGUUCCCUUAUGGUAGAAAAGCUUAAAACUUGACCAUGUAUAUGGGCUAUGAUUAAGAUGACCAAAAAGGGAUACUUGGCUUGGGUGGUAUUAUGGGAUGCUAUUCAUNNNNNNNNNNNNNNNNNNNNNNNNNNNNNNNNNNNNNNNNNNNNNNNNNNNNNNNNNNNNNNNNNNNNNNNNNNNNNNNNNNNNNNNNNNNNNNNNNNNNNNNNNNNNNNNNNNNNNNNNNNNNNNNNNNNNNNNNNNNNNNNNNNNNNNNNNNNNNNNNNNNNNNNNNNNNNNNNNNNNNNNNNNNNNNNNNNNNNNNNNNNNNNNNNNNNNNNNNNNNNNNNNNNNNNNNNNNNNNNNNNNNNNNNNNNNNNNNNNNNNNNNNNNNNNNNNNNNNNNNNNNNNNNNNNNNNNNNNNNNNNNNNNNNNNNNNNNNNNNNACAUAUUCUUGCCUACAUUCUUAUCAAAUGUAGGGUCCGGCGAUCUUGAGUUCCAUUCUCGUGGCUAGGUUCUAGUAGAGCUAAGGAGUUGAAGACUUGGUGAGUCCUCAUAGCUUCGAGGAAGAACCCAUUAUUCCUUUAUGUCAUUUCUUUAUGUUUUAGACAUUGUAUGGGCUGCGUCCCAAGUCUUUUAUUCAAGAGUUUAAUAGAUGGUUUGAGACAAGGUUAUAGUAAAGACUUCCGCUUGCUUUAUGAAAAUGUUUUCGAUUGUAUGGUUUUAAAGAAGUUUUAAAUUUUUCCAUACUUUUCUAUUAUCUUAUGUUAUGAUGAUUCUAAGGGCUUGUAUGAGACCCCUUCGGGGUCGAGUACGCCAUGUUACACCUAGGGUAUACCCUUGGGUCGUGAUAAUUAGGUCAAAAUCUCUAAAUCUAUUAUUAAUAUUCUUAGAAUUUAUAUUUUUAUAAUACUUUCCUUAUUAUGAUAUAAAUUAUCAAUAACAAAAAAUGAGAAAAAGUAAAAUAUUAAUGUAGUUGUUAUAGAGGGGUAAGUUUUAAGAGUAUAUUGUGAUUAUGGCUGUUCAAAACCGAACCGAAACCGACAAUUUGAAUCGAAAAAAAUUUAUUCGUUUAUCCGUAAUGGGUUAUUGGUUUAGCGGUUUUGAUAAUGGUUUUGAUUUUUUUUGUAAUCGGGUUAUCGGUUCUUAACAGUUAUAGCUUUUUUCCUAACGGGUUAACCGAUAACCCGAUAGUAAAUUAAACAAUUAUAUAUAUACCAUUUUGUAUAUAAAGUCCUUGACUUAGAGAUUGGUUUCCUACUUUCAUUGUUGGUUGUCCCAAACUCUUGGUUAUUCUACAAUGUAAAAGUGUUUGCUUUUGAGAAAGAUGUAGCUUGUGAACUCAUGUGCAUGGUUCAUUUGGUUUGUCACCUUGUUUUUAAGUGUUUUUCAAUAUUUGUUUUUGUCAAAUCUUAACGGUUAAACCGAUAACCGAACCGAUAACGAUAAAAAAUCGAUAAAUCAAUAACCGAUAAGUCAAUAUCUUAAUGGUUCUAUAACGGUUUAACAUAUCUACAAAUGGAUAACCAAUAAGUCAAACCGAUAAACUUUAAAACUGAACCGAACCGACCGACACACAACCUUAACCAUGAUGAUGAGGAUAUUUUUGCCCUUGAUUACAACUUAUUAUAGAGAGGUGAAUUAUAACGCUAAAAAAAUAGUUCCAACAUAAAAUUGAUUAUCAUAAAUAUUACUAUAGCUAGCCUAUAUCUAUUAGAGAGUGAUUUGUGUUCAAAGUGAAUUUUUGUGACACAAAUUUAAAUUAACCACACAUCUCCAAGUAAAUAUCAAACACUUAAUUAAAAGAAUGGGCAAGUGUUACUGAAAACUUUGACCAUGCAAUGAUGUGUUAUUGUCCAAAUUAAAAUUUUAUCUCAGAAUUUUUUAUGUUGAAGUUCGUGUUAACACUUAGGGGCUGUUUGGAAAGCCAUUUUGGUAAUUCUAUUCAGUGUAAUUGGCUGUAAUUACAUUGUUUGUUAUGUUUGAUUGGCCAUGUAAUUACCUAGUCAAUAACUAAUUAGGUGUAAUUGGCAGGGUGUAAUUGGCACUCUACAAUUCACAAGGGGAGACUGUGAAUUACUAGUAAUUACAUGAUGUAAUUACAAGCUAAUUACUUUUUAAUUUCUUUCUUUUAUUUUUUUGUUUUUAAUGUAUUUUUUAUUUCAUUAUUUUAUUUUAUUUUAAUUUUUUUUAUUUUAUUAUUUAUAUUUCAUUUUCUUCUUAUUCUCAACCUUUACUUCAUGUGAUUCCAUAAAAAUAUUCGUAUUAUCUAAAAAAAAAUUAUUUGUAUAAUUUUGUUAGUAUUCUAAUUUUUAGAUUAAAGUAGAAUUUAUUGUUGAAUAAAGUUAUGGACUUACAUUUUCCUUUUCUUUUAAAUCAUAUUUGUGUAUGUUAUGUUGAAAUUUGACAUAAGAGUAGUAUGUUAAAUUUUUGUUUUGAAUUUAGAACUUAUUUUAUAUUUUCAAUUUCAUUUGUUUUAGGAGUAUUGACUCGAUAUUUUACAUUGUAAGCUAUUUUUUUUUAUGUUAGACUUGAUAGAUUAUCUUUCUGUCUAAUGUUUUAUAAUUUUAUGACAUUAUAUUUAUAAUAUUAAUUUUUUUUGUCAAACAUGCAUUUCAUGAUGUUCAUAGAAAUUUUGUACUUUUAGAUUUUAUGAUUUAUUUAAUUAAAAUAUACUAAAUUUAAAAAUAUAAAUCAAUUAAUUUUUAUAAUAUUAGUUAAGAACAUAUGUUUAUUCAUUAAUAUAUUUUCAAAAAAGACAAUAUAUAUCUUAAAUAUUCAAUGUAAUAUCAUUUAAAAAGGCUCUUAUUUGUAUAAUAUAAUUUUUUAAUUUUAAAUAAUUAAUUUUCAUUUUUAAAUUCAAUAUAAGCUUAUGAUUACACUUGUUUAAUCAAACAAUACAUGUGUAAUUACAGUGUAAUCACACUGUGGCAAACAAACAAGUCAGUGUAAUUACUAGGCUGAUAAUUACUACCCUAGUAAUUACACCAAUUCCAAUUACCAGGUGACUUUCCAAACAAGCCCUUAUUGUUGAAGAUGAAGAUUUGACCUAUCACAAAUUACUCCUUCCUUUGUAUUAAAUUAUUUAUCGUAUUUUCUUUUACACAUUUUUAGAAAAAAUAUAAAUUAAGAGAGUUUUUUAAAAUUAUUUUACUCAUUUAUAUCUUAAGUUAUAAUCUAUAUUCAUUAAAUAUUUAUUUUGAGUUUCUCACAUUUCAUCUCUUUUGCUUGAUUGUAGGUGCCUUCUCCGGAGGUUGGAUGAUCCUUUUAUCCAUCAAUGUCUACAUAGAGCAUAAUGAAGUUGUAGAUAGCCUAGCAGUACUAACCACUAGUAGCACUACCAGCAUGGGUUGUGAUGCAUUGGUGGGAGUGAUUCACCCUUAACCAGAGGUCUCGAGUUCGAGCCCUUAGUGUGGAGAAAAUCCUGUUGGAAGCGUCACCCUCGAAUGGGCCCUGCAGAGCGCGAUCCAAAUUUAAUCAAAGCUUCAAUGUGGGCUUCGGACACCACGUGUAAAAAAAAACACUAGUAGCACUACGAUUAUACCUAUUACUCUGACGAAAUAUUUUUGGAUCCCUCUUCCAUUAACUCUAGUUGUUUUGGAUGCUGACAAGCAAGGAGUUUGGUGUAUUGGAAGAGUGAAUGUAGCUACAUGACACUCUUUGACCUUGUGUAUGACUAGAUGUAUUACUACUUCUCCUAGUAAUAAUACUAUUGCAUGGAUGGUGGCAUCCCCUCAACAACUAUCUCUCAGGGCCGGCUCUUGCCUAUAAAAUUUAAGGCAUUGGGGGCCUCAAAAUUCUACAAAUAAAAAAUUAUGUAUUUUAAUCCCAUUAAAAUAGAAGAAAUCAAGAAAAUACUGUUUUGGAUUCUUACAUUCUCUUCGCUAACACUCACAUUAUUUAUCAUUUUAAACUCUUUUUGCACUCUAUUUCUUCAAAUCUUUGAUAGUUAGAGUAAUAAUCUCUCAAAAAUAUGAAUCAAUAGUCAAAAAGUGUUGAACAAAGUGAAUUACAAUUUUUUUUAUUUCUUCGUAAAUUUUUAUAUUAAAUUAGGUAUACCAAGUUAUUAACUUUUUGAAUCUGAUUCUAUGAUUCUAACGCUUAUCUUAAAAGUUUAUCAACUUAUUACUUACAGAAUUAUGUUAACAAUUCAUAUAAUAAUUGUAUCAAUAAAAGGAUAUUUUUCAAUGUUAAAUUGAUAAAAUCUUACCUAAAAAUAAUAAUUAAAAAAACUAUUUAGAAAAAAUCAUUUAUAUAAAAGAUAUUAAGUAGUAAUUUACAGCUAAAAAUUUAGAAAAAUAAAUAAAUACAAAUAAAGUUUAUUUAAAUUUUAGGCCUCUAAUUAAAAUUUUUCUUUAGGCCUCGAAUUAUGUUGAGCCGCCCCGUGUAUCUUUGUACAUGUAUUUUUUUGUCAAGUAAUAUAUUUUUUCUAUUUAGCAAAACAAUAUAUAUUUACUCUAUUGAGGUAUUUGUAUCUUCAUGAAUAAUUAUUACUAAGGCUAAAAUAGGAAAAAAAUAAUUAAUUAUAUCUUGAAAUUCUAAAAUCAUGAUAGAUAACUAUUUUAAAAAAAAUCAGGAUUAAUAUUUUAAGUAUGAGAGAAAGGUACAUGGAUACCAUCCAAGUCUCAAAAUUAAAAAGAGUGACAACUUUGACCAGUCAAGGUCAAAGAUCACUUUAUUUUGGAUUAUUAAGUAGAAUGAGAUAUCAAGUGUAGUAUUUAAAACUUCUCAAAUUUUGAUAAACUAUAUAUAUAAAAAAUCAAUCCACGAAUUUAACCAUCUAUUCAAUUUCUUUAUUUCAAAAUCAAAUUUAUCUACAAAAAAAAGCGGCUUUUUUCAUCAUCCCCAUUUAUUUUCUUUUUCGACUAUAUCGUUGUUGUUCACUAUGUCGUUGUUGUCACUCGUCAUCUUUGCUCAGAGGUAAAAUUAUUUUUCUUUUUCAGGUAUGUCAAACAACUUAAUGUGAAGAAUUAUAAUUUUGAUUUUUUGAAGUUAAAAAUUGUGAUUUCGAUUAAAGAAGAAGAACACAAGGUUUGCAUAUUUUGUUAUUCUAUGCGCUAAUAAAUAUAUAACUGUUGUAUUUGUUGUCUUUUUGUCCUUGUGUGUUCUUAAAUAGGUUUUACUAGAAAUAUAUAUAUAUAUAUAUAUAUAUAUAUAUAUAUAUAUUAUUGGUAUUGUAUGUUGUCGCUCUAUGAUUUAGAAAAUAGGAAUUUGUCGUUGCUUGAUUUUUUUCAACAGCUGAAAAUAGUUAUUGUUGCAACCUCAAUACUUUUUAAAAAUGUCAAAUAUUUGUUAAGGUUGUUUCAAUAAAAUAUUAUAAUAACCUCAACAAAAGUUUGAUUUUUUCAAAAACGUAUUCAGGUUAUUACAAUAACUAUCCCAACUGUUGAAAAAAUCAAGCAGCUGUUGAUCAGAUUAUUGAAAUAGACUAAAGAACUAUUUGAUAAAGCUAAAAUUAUUGCAAGAGUUUCCUCAACUAUUAAAAAAAGGGAAAAGGGUCAAAAAUACCCCUCAACUUUGGUUUAUUGUUUGACUACGCCCUCGCCGUUAAAAUGAAGUUAUUUUUACCCCUCCCGUUACUAAUUUCACCAAAUUUACCCCUCAAUUGGAUGGAAAACCCCAAAUUGACUCAGUUUAACCCAAAUUUUAAAAAAAGACCCAUUCCCCAUUUUAAACCCAAUGCCCGACCCAUCCAAAGUUGAGGGGUAUUUUUGACCCUUUGCCCUCAAUUGGAUGAAAAAUCCAAAUCAACUAAAAUUACCCAAUUUCAAGUAAAUGACCCGAUUUUCUCUUUUAAUCCAAACCGACCCAUUUAUAUCAAAUUAGAACCCUAAACCCAUCUCUCUAAUCUUCUCCAUCUCCUUCUUCCAUUGAAACACAUACUACUAAAAUUGACAACAAAUAUUUUGUAGUUAAACUAAUGCAUAUUUGUCCUUCCUACUAAAAUUGCACCACUAGUCGGAGCUUGGAGCUCGUUCAAUCAUCGGAUUUUGCUUUCCUGCGGGCAGAUCUGAAACUAUGAUAUUGCUUGCUUGUUGAGCCUAGCCAGAUAUGAAGUUGUGGCUGUUGUUUUCGAGCCUUGAUUCUCGCCUGAUUGUGUUGUUGGUUUGAUCUGUUAGCGGUGCUUCAGUUGUUUUCCGAUGGGGUUUUGGUCGGGGUUUUGUUGGUUGGUUGUUUGGAGGUCGGAGAACUGGUGGUCUGGUGGUCAUUUGCUGGUUGUUUUAGCUUGGGUGAUGGAGGUCUGGGUUCUGGUGGGCUGAAGUGUGGUUUUACCACUGGAUUUUGGCGUGGAGAGAGUGGUGUUUGAGAGCUGUUUCAGGUCGGUUUCACGGCUGUUUGAAUGAUUCCGACGGUGGGUGGUUUGCUUAAUGUUGUUCCAGCUUGAAACUGGCCGGAAAUGGAGAAGAAAGAUCUUGUUGUCGUCAAUGGAAAGUAGAGGAAAAUGGGUUUGUUGUUAAUGUUUUUUGCUUGAUGUCGUUUCUGGUUCUUGGGGGUUUUUAGUGGUGGUUUCAGGUGGUCGUUUGGAGGUUGUUUUGGUGGUGUUUCGCCGGAAAAUGGAGAAAAUGAAUGGGGAUUACCGGAGCUUGAUUUGUGGUUUUAAUUUGGUAUAAAUGGGUCGGG
rnacentral:lncRNA from 1 species